rnacentral:rRNA from 1 species
CCUACGGGUGGCAGCAGUGAGGAAUAUUGGUCAAUGGACGAGAGUCUGAACCAGCCAAGUAGCGUGAAGGAUGACUGCCCUAUGGGUUGUAAACUUCUUUUAUAAAGGAAUAAAACGAGGCACGUGUGCCUUUUUGCAUGUAUUUUAUGAAUAAGGAUCGGCUAACUCCGUGCCAGCAGCCGCGGUAAUACGGAGGAUCCGAGCGUUAUUCGGAUUUAUGGGGUUUAAAGGGAGCGUAGGUGGGUUGUUAAGUCAGUUGUGAAAGUUUGCGGCUCAAACGUGGAAUUGCAAUUGAUACUGGCAGUCUUGAGUGCAGUUGAGGUAAGCGGAAUUCGUGGUGUAGCGGUGAAAUGCUUAGAUAUCACGAAGAACCCCGAUUGCGAAGGCAGCUUACUAGACUGUGACUGACAUUGAGGCUCGAAAGUGUGGGUAUCAAACAGGAUUAGAUACCCGGGUAGUC